CGCCUUGCCAGCCGCUCAGAACUUAAAGGAAUUGACGGGGCCCGCACAAGCGGUGGAGCAUGUGGUUUAAUUCGAUGAUACGCGAGGAACCUUACCUGGGCUCAAAUGUAUGUUGACGUAUUCUGAAAGGGAUACUUCUUCGGACAAUAUACAAGGUGCUGCAUGGUUGUCGUCAGCUCGUGCCGUGAGGUGUCGGGUUAAGUCCCAUAACGAGCGCAACCCCUAUCAUUAGUUGCCAUCAGGUCAAGCUGGGGACUCUAAUGAAACUGCCUACGCAAGUAGUGAGGAAGGUGGGGAUGACGUCAAAUCAGCACGGCCCUUACGUCCAGGGCUACACACGUGCUACAAUGGCCGGUACAGAGUGAAGCGAAACCGCGAGGUGAAGCAAAACGCAGAAAGCCGGUCUCAGUACGGAUUGGAGUCUGAAACUCGACUUCAUGAAGUUGGAAUCGCUAGUAAUCGCGCAUCAGCAUGGCGCGGUGAAUACGUUCCCGGGCCUU
rnacentral:rRNA from 1 species